rnacentral:rRNA from 1 species
GACGAACGCUGGCGGCGUGCUUAACACAUGCAAGUCGAACGGAAAGGCCCUGCUUUUGUUGGGUGCUCGAUUGGCGAACGGGUGAGUAACACGUGAGUAACCUGCCCUUGACUUUGGGAUAACUUCAGGAAACUGGGGCUAAUACCGGAUAUGAUCUCCUGCUGCAUGGUGGGGGUUGGAAAGUUUCGGCGGUUGUGGAUGGACUCGCGGCUUAUCAGCUUGUUUGUGGGGUAGUGGCUUACCAAGGCUUUGACGGGUAGCCGGCCUGAGAGGGUUACCGGGCACAUGGGGACUGAGAGAGGGAGCAGAAGGGUACGGGAGGCAGCAGUGGAGAGUAUUGCAGAAUGAGGGGAAGUGAGAGACAGAAACGUCGCGUGCGGGAUGACGGGCUACGGGUGAUAAACAGAUGUGGAAUGUGACGAAGAGUGAGUGACGGUAAUGGGUAAAGAAGCAACGGCUAACUACGUG